UAGGGAAUCUUCGGCAAUGGACGAAAGUCUGACCGGGCAACGCCGCGUGAGUGAAGAAGGUUUUCGGAUCGUAAAACUCUGUUGGUAGAGAAGAACGUUGGUGAGAGUGGAAAGCUCAUCAAGUGACGGUAACUACCCAGAAAGGGACGGCUAACUACGUGCCAA
rnacentral:rRNA from 1 species